rnacentral:rRNA from 1 species
UACGUAGGGGGCAAGCGUUGUCCGGAUUUAUUGGGCGUAAAGAGCGUGUAGGCGGCUAGAUAGGUCCGUUGUGAAAACUCGAGGCUCAACCUCGAGACGUCGAUGGAAACCAUCUGGCUAGAGUCCGGAAGAGGAGAGUGGAAUUCCUGGUGUAGCGGUGAAAUGCGCAGAUAUCAGGAGGAACACCGGUGGCGAAGGCGGGUCUCUGGGCCGAAACUGACGCUGAGGAGCGAAAGCGUGGGGAGCGAACAGG